CCUACUGCUAUCGGGAUGAGACUAAAACAUGCUAGUUGUGCGCACCUUAGCUAUGUUAGGAGCGCAGCGAACGGCUCCGUAACACGUUGUCAAUCUAACCUUAGGAUAGGAAUAACCCCGGGAAACUGGGGCUAAUACCUGAUAGGCGAAUAAUUCUGGAAUGAUUUUUCACUCAAAGAGUUAUAGGAACAUGCUUCUUUAACUGCCUAAGGAUGAGACUGCGUCCGAUCAGGUUGUUGGUGGGGUGAUGGCCUACCAAGCCUAUAACCGGUACGGGCCCUGAGAGGGGGAGCCCGGAGAUGGGAACUGAGACAAGGUCCCAGACCCUAAGGGGUGCAGCAGUUGCGAAACCUCUACAAUGCACGAAAGUGUGAUAGGGUUAUCCCGAGUGCCGUCCGAUGAGGAUGGCUUUUACCUGGUGUAAGGAGCCAGGAGAAUAAAGGGGGGGCAAGACUGGUGUCAGCCGCCGCGGUAAUACCAGCCCCCUGAGUGGUAGGGAUGAUUAUUUGGCCUAAAGCGUCCGUAGCCGGCUUAGCAAGUCUUUCGUUAAAUCCGGUGACUUAAUCAUCGGCCCGCGAGAGAUACUACUAGGCUUGAGGGCGGGAGAGUUCGACGGUAUUCCGGGGUUAGGGGUAAAAUCCUAUAAUCCUCGGAGGACCACCAGUGGCGAAGGCGGUCGACUAGAACGUGCCUGACGGUGAUGGACGAAAGCUGGGGGAGCAAACCGGAUUAGACACCCGGGUAGUCCCAGCCGUAAACGAUGCGGGCUAGGUGUUGGACCAGCUACGAGCUGCUCCAGUGCCGAAGAGAAGUCAUUAAGCCUGCCGCCUGGGAAGUACGGUCGCAAGACUGAAACUUAAAGGAAUUGGCGGGGGAGCACCACAAGGGGUGAAGCCUGCGGUUC
rnacentral:rRNA from 1 species